UACGUAGGCAGCAAGCGUUGUUCGGAUUUACUGGGCGUAAAGGGUGCGUAGGCGGCUUGGUAAGUGAGGUGUGAAAUCCCUCGGCUCAACCGAGGAACUGCGCUUCAUACUGCAUGGCUUGAGGGAGACAGGGGUAAGCGGAACUGAUGGUGGAGCGGUGAAAUGCGUUGAUAUCAUCAGGAACACCGGUGGCGAAAGCGGCUUACUGGGUCUCUUCUGACGCUGAGGUACGAAAGCUAGGGGAGCGAACGGG
rnacentral:rRNA from 1 species